rnacentral:rRNA from 1 species
AUUGAACGCUGGCGGCAGGCCUAACACAUGCAAGUCGAACGAGUGGCGGACGGGUGAGUAAUGUCUGGGAAACUGCCCGAUGGAGGGGGCUCACUACUGGAAACGGUCGCUAAUACCGCAUAACAUCGUAUGUGCCCAGAUGGGAUUAGCGAGUAGGUGGGGUAACGGCUCACCAGGGCGACGAUGCCUAGCUGGUCUGAGAGGAUGACCAGCCACACUGGGACUGAGACACGGUCCAGACUCCUACGGGAGGCAACAGUGGGGAAUAUUGCACAAUGGGCGCAAGCCUGAUGCAGCCAUGCCGCGUGUAUGAAGAAGGCCUUCGGGUUGUAAAGUACUUUCAGCGGGGAGGCGUUACCCGCAGAAGAAGCACCGGCUAACUCCGUGCCAGCAGCCGCGGUAAUUC